ensembl:lncRNA
UAGAUGGCAAGGACAAGACUGAUAUCCUGAUGCAUUUUUCCUUUUGUCUCUUCCACUUUCAGGGUCUAAAGAGAGCAUCAUUACCACCAGCAGGCAGAUACGCCUUGCCACAGGCAUCUUUCCUGUUGUCAGUCUCCUGAACCACUCCUGCAGGCCCAACACCAGCGUGUCUUUCACAAACACUGUCGCCACCAUUCGGGCAGCACAGCAGAUUGGAAGAGGGCAAGAGAUUCUCCACUGCUAUGGGCCUCAUGAGAGCCGGAUGGAUGUUGCUGAAAGGCAGCAGAAGCUGAGGUCUCAGUACUUUCUUUGACUGUAGCUGUCCAGCUUGCCACACUGAGAAGCCCAAAACAGCUGCAGGGCCCAGCUGGGAAGCCUUCUGUUGUAACGGUUGUGGCGCGCUCAUGCAGGGAGAUGCUGUGCUGAGCUGUGGCAGUGGAUCUUGUACAGGAUCCGUCAGCAGGGACCAGCUGGUCUGUCGGUUACAGCACCUUCAGCAACAGGUUGGGAUGGCCUGGAAGCUUCUCAGAAAUGGUAAACUAGGUGAGACUGGCUCCCUGCUUUGGGCCUCUAACUCUUUCCCUUUUAUGUGUUCUUGCACUCAAGAAAACUCAGUAAUGGGCUGGAGGUCUGUCUCAAGUGGUAGAGUGCCUGCUUUACAAGUGUAAAAACCCUGAAUUUAACCCCAGACCCACCAAAAAAAGAAAAAG